rnacentral:rRNA from 1 species
CGUGUAGGCGGCCGCUUAAGUCUGAUGUGAAAGCCCGGGGCUUACCCCCGGAAGGGCAUUGGAAACUGGGCGGCUAGAGUACCGGAGAGGAAGGUGGAAUUCCUGGUGUAGCGGUGAAAUGCGUAGAUAUCAGGAGGAACACCGGUGGCGAAGGCGGCCUUCUGGACGGAUACUGACGCUGAGACGCGAAAGCGUGGGGAGCAAACAGGAUUAGAUACCCUGGUAGUCCACGCCGUAAACGAUGGGCACUAGGUGUUCGGGGUAUUGACCCCCUGAGUGCCGCAGCUAACGCAUUAAGUGCCCCGCCUGGGGACUACGGCCGCAAGGUUAAA